CCUACGGGAGGCAGCAGUGAGGAAUCUUCCACAAUGGGGGAAACCCUGAUGGAGCAACGCCGCGUGCAGGAUGAAGGCCUUCGGGUUGUAAACUGCUUUUAUAAGUGAAGAAUAUGACGGUAACUUAUGAAUAAGCACCGGCUAACUACGUGCCAGCAGCCGCGGUAAUACGUAGGGUGCAAGCAUUAUCCGGAGUGACUGGGCGUA
rnacentral:rRNA from 1 species